rnacentral:rRNA from 1 species
UACGAAGGGGGCUAGCGUUGCUCGGAAUGACUGGGCGUAAAGGGCGCGUAGGCGGUGCAUUUGGUCAGGCGUGAAAUCCCUCGGCUCAACUGGGGAACUGCACGGGAAACUGGAAGGCUUGAGUUCGGGAGAGGGAAGCGGAAUUCCGGGUGUAGCGGUGAAAUGCGUAGAUAUCCGGAGGAACACCGGUGGCGAAGGCGGCUUCCUGGACCGACACUGACGCUGAGGCGCGAAAGCUAGGGGAGCAAACGGG